rnacentral:tRNA from 1 species
UUAAAGAUAGUUUAAGAAAGAACAAUAACUUUGGGAGUUAUAAGCGCCUUUGGGAUCUUUAAA